rnacentral:rRNA from 1 species
GUCGAGCGAGUUGAUUCUCUUCGGAGAUGAAGCUAGCGGCGGACCGGUGAGUAACACGUGGGCAGCCUGCCUCAUAGAGGGGAAUAGCCUCCCGAAAGGGAGAUUAAUACCGCAUAAGAUUGUAGCUUUGCAUGAAGUAGCAAUUAAAGGAGUAAUCCGCUAUGAGAUGGGCCCGCGGCGCAUUAGCUAGUUGGUGAGGUAACGGCUCACCAAGGCGACGAUGCGUAGCCGACCUGAGAGGGUGAUCGGCCACAUUGGGACUGAGACACGGCCCAGACUCCUACGGGAGGCAGCAGUGGGGAAUAUUGCACAAUGGGGGAAACCCUGAUGCAGCAACGCCGCGUGAGUGAUGACGGCCUUCGGGUUGUAAAGCUCUGUCUUCAGGGACGAUAAUGACGGUACCUGAGGAGGAAGCCACGGCUAACUACGUGCCAGCAGCCGCGGUAAUACGUAGGUGGCGAGCGUUGUCCGGAUUUACUGGGCGUAAAGGGAGCGUAGGCGGACUUUUAAGUGAGAUGUGAAAUACCCGGGCUCAACUUGGGUGCUGCAUUUCAAACUGGAAGUCUAGAGUGCAGGAGAGGAGAAUGGAAUUCCUAGUGUAGCGGUGAAAUGCGUAGAGAUUAGGAAGAACACCAGUGGCGAAGGCGAUUCUCUGGACUGUAACUGACGCUGAGGCUCGAAAGCGUGGGGAGCAAACAGGAUUAGAUACCCGGGUAGUCCACGCC